UUGGUGGCUCACCUGGUGGGGCGCAUGCCACAUGGGCUUAGUCUUAACCACAGCGGCCAUGGCUUUCGCAUCCGACCCGCGGCCCUUUGUGGCAUGACAUCCGAAGGAUCCCUCUCAACAGUAUAUUCGAGCUGUGUGCAGGCACCUCAGUAAUGGGAUGCCAGAAUCCCCCCCAGACCAGUACCACACCUUAUGACCCCCCUCAACCAGCCAUAAAGUGUAUGUAAUGGGCAUGACGCCGUCCCAUACUUACACCUUUUCAAGUGAUGGCUGCACUCAGGAGGUAUUUGGGUGAAAAACUCUAGUCUAUCAAUGUUACUGUGUAACUAUGUUCAGCUUCAUAGUCAUUUUUAAGUGCUUGUUGGUAAUUUCUGAAUGGGAUUCACUCACCGUUCAAUUUAUAAGACAUAGACCACUGUGAUAUUAUAUUUUACCUUAUAUAUUGAUCUUUAAGUACAAUUUGAUAAAUAC